AACGAACGCUGGCGGCAUGCCUAACACAUGCAAGUCGAACGAGACCUUCGGGUCUAGUGGCGCACGGGUGCGUAACGCGUGGGAACCUGCCCUUAGGUUCGGAAUAACUCCCCGAAAGGGGUGCUAAUACCGGAUAAUGUCUUCGGACCAAAGAUUUAUCGCCUUUGGAUGGGCCCGCGUUGGAUUAGCUAGUUGGUAGGGUAAAAGCCUACCAAGGCGACGAUCCAUAGCUGGUCUGAGAGGAUGAUCAGCCACACUGGGACUGAGACACGGCCCAGACCCCUACGGGGGGCAGCAGGGGGGAAUAUUGGACAAGGGGCGAAAGCCUGACCCAGCAAUGCCCGGUGAGUGAGAAAGGCCUUGGGGUUGUAAAGCUCUUUUCCCCGGGAUGAAAAUGACAGUACCGGGAGAAUAAGCCCCGGCUAACCCCGU
rnacentral:rRNA from 1 species